UGGGAAUUUUUCGCAAUGGGGCAACCCUGACGAAGCAAUGCCGCGUGGAUGAAGAAGGCCUUCGGGUUGUAAAGUCCUUUCGUGGAGGACGAAAAGGUGGGUUCUAAUACAAUCUGCUAUUGACGUGAAUCCAAGAAGAAGCACCGGCUAACUCCGUGCCAGCAGCCGCGGUAAUACGGGGGUGCAAGCGUUAAUCGGAAUCACUGGGGCGUAAAGGGUGCGUAGGCGGUACGUUAGGUCUGUCGUGAAAUCCCCGGGGCUCAACCUGGGGAAUGGCGGUAGAAACCGGCGCACUAGAGUAUGGGGAGAGGGUGGUGGAAUUCCAGGUGUAGCGGUGAAAUGCGUAGAUAUCUGGAGGAACAUCAGUGGCGAAGGCGCCACCUGGCCCAAUACUGACGCUGAGGCACGAAAGCGUGGGGAGCAAACA
rnacentral:rRNA from 1 species